CGGUUUAGCUAGGCCCACCGGGCAAUCUUAGCCCACAAGUUAUCUUAGGUUAAUUCUUAUGCAAGUUAUCUAGGUUAUAAAUAUAGGCUGUAAGACUCUUUUUGGAAUUAAGCAAUAAGAAUAUUAUUAUCCCUAUUGCCCGGCUCCCAGAGGAGCCGGAACCCUAGCCGCCUCUAACCCUAGCCGCCGCCGCCAUCUCCCUCCGACGCGACGGCGCCCAGCCGCCGGUGCGCCCGAUCAACGCCCCGUCCCACUCCAUCCUUCCCCUACAACCUCCGGAGCAGGUCUGGUAGGACCCCUGGUUCUACCAUGUACUCCCUCUUAUUUUCUUUCUUUGUAUCGGAGUAUUUCAUUUGUAUCAGUUUAUCUUAUUUUCUUUUUUUAUUGGAUUAUUCGUUGUUCUUCUAAGGGUUGUCAAUGGCAUAAAAUGGGUUCUGUAAACUUCAUUUUUUUAUAAUCAUUUAAUUAUUUAUCAAGCAGUUGCCACUGUAAAAUAUUAUCAUCAGGCCAUUGUUACCCUCAACAUUAACUUUUUGCCUGAAGAGCUAUGUGAUACAGAAAAGAGCCUUUCCUUUCAGGCACUGCAAAGGAGAGUAUGAUACCAGGAUCAACUAGCUAGGCAAGGCUUUUUGCUAAGGUUAAAUAAGAAGAGAUUGCACUUUUAAGAAGACCUCUUGUUGACUAUCCAGUGAAGGUACUAUGCAUACUGCAUACAAAAUAUUACAUUACCUUUUUUACCCCCUUCCACGUGCUCUGUUUUCACUUUCGGUAUGCAUCCACAAAAUCUAACUGGACUCUCUUGGUCUGAUGUCUUGUAUUUCGAAGCCACAAUACUUAAUGAGAAACAUAUUAUGGAAAAGCGCAUUGCAUAUAUGCGAAUGGCAUUUGAUCAGCAGCAACAAGAUUUGGUUGAUGUUGCAUCAAAAUCUUUAGCCUAUAGACAAGACAUAAUCCCAACAUGUCAAGGUAUUGUGUUCUCUCUAUUGAUUUUGACAUCACUUCAUAAUAUCGGUUUUCAGCCUGUUCUUCUCACAUUAAAACAUCAUCGUUCAGUUAUAUGUACUAAUUAGUCGCAUGUGCUUUUGUUGGGCUUGUCAGUAUCCUAUUUGCCUGGAGAAAUACAUGUUGUGGUAAGCCGUAAUUGUUAGUCUUGCUCAUAUGCAUCCACAAAGGGUAUCUGCCAUUUUCCUUGUGGUACUCUUGAAUCAGAGUUAUUUUUUAUGCCGCUCUUGUUCUCCAUUCAUAUUGAUUUAGUAGCAAGUUGUAGGUUAAAUUUUGACAUCGGAUAAAAUUCUUUGCAACUAGAGGGUCAAUGUCAAAUAGUCAUAUUUAUCCAGCGGUCCUUCCUGUAGAAAGCAAGAACUUUUUUGAUGCCGCUCUUGUUUUCCAUUCAUAUUGAUUUACUAGCAAGUUGUAGGUUAAAUUUUGACAUCGGAUAAAAUUCUUUGCAACCAGAGGGUCAAUGUCAAAGAGUCAGAUUUAUCUAGCGGUCCUUCUGGUCGAAAGCAAGAUUUUUUUAUGCUGCUCUUGUUCUCCAUUCAUAUUGAUUUACUAGCAAGUUGUAGGUUAAAUUUUGACAUCGGAUAAAAUUCUUUGCAACCAGAGGGUCAAUGUCAAAGAGUCAUAUUUAUCCAGCGGUCCGUUCUGUCGAAAGCAAGAAAAUGUUCUGAAAGGUUUGUUGACAGUUAUACAAGGUUCAUCGACUUAUCUUUUUCUUUGUCAUUACUUUGAAUUUGUAGACUUGAUGAUAUGUUGUCAUGUUCUCUUAUUUCACCACUGUCAUGAGGGCUUAUAGUUCUGCCAUUUUACACAUGUACGGUUUCUCCAUUCGCUCAACCCAGAAUAUGGAAUUGCUGGAAUUUUUGAAAUGUUGGCAAGUUCCCUUCCUUCUUCGCCUCCCUCCAUUACAUCCCCAAGGAUUCAUAACUUUCUCAUUUUAGUUGUCUUUUCAAGAGUUUUGUUAAAUUCUUGAUGAACUGCACAUACGCAGCACAAGGCUUAUCAGACAUGGUUUUAUUUUGAGAACCUUUUAGGUAAAUAUGAGUAUGAUUUUAUUAUUUUCGUGGAUGUAAUUUUAAAAGUUCACAUUUCUCUUUUUUUUAUAAAAUGGACUUGCCCAAUAUCGAUAUUGUCUCGAGUAAGAAAUUAAUCUUUUGUUUGCCUAAAAUUUUGAUUCAUGUAAAUUUUAUAGUUGGUUUAUUUCACAGGUUUGGUUUCUUUAUCAGAGGUUGCUUGAUCUGAUGGUGGAUGAAACUUGGUUUGGUUGGGACUGAGUCAUUUUGGCUCUUCUUGGUGGCAACUAAUUACGUAUUUAUACCGAGAAUCAAUAAACAUGAGGCAGGCUGACCAGCUUCAAAUACGUAAUUAGUUGCCACAUAGCGGUUGUCACUGGAGACUUGACCAGCCUGGACUUUACGUACUUCCUGUGUUAUUUCUUCUUUGAUUUAGGGAAAAUCAAUUGCAUGAGAUAAGUGUCAAAAUUAGUACUCGCCGACACUUACUUUGGGACACUUGUAAAUAGGUGUCAGUUCUAAUUUAUCUCAGUCUCGGUUUUCACAUCUGAUUCGGGGUCUUGAGCCCUCCUCAUUCAUUUGAACAUGUGAUUUAUUUUUAUUUCUACUAUAAAUUGAGCUAAUUAGAAAUUC